rnacentral:rRNA from 1 species
AUUGAACGCUGCGGGCAGGCCUAACACAUGCAAGUCGAGCGGAUGAAGGGAGCUUGCUCCUGGAUUCAGCGGCGGACGGGUGAGUAAUGCCUAGGAAUCUGCCUGGUAGUGGGGGAUAACGUCCGGAAACGGGCGCUAAUACCGCAUACGUCCUGAGGGAGAAAGUGGGGGAUCUUCGGACCUCACGCUAUCAGAUGAGCCUAGGUCGGAUUAGCUAGUUGGUGGGGUAAAGGCCUACCAAGGCGACGAUCCGUAACUGGUCUGAGAGGAUGAUCAGUCACACUGGAACUGAGACACGGUCCAGACUCCUACGGGAGGCAGCAGUGGGGAAUAUUGGACAAUGGGCGAAAGCCUGAUCCAGCCAUGCCGCGUGUGUGAAGAAGGUCUUCGGAUUGUAGAGCACUUUAAGUUGGGAGGAAGGGCAGUAAGUUAAUACCUUGCUGUUUUGACGUUACCAACAGAAUAAGCACCGGCUAACUUCGUGCCAGCAGCCGCGGUAAUACGAAGGGUGCAAGCGUUAAUCGGAAUUACUGGGCGUAAAGCGCGCGUAGGUGGUUCAGCAAGUUGGAUGUGAAAUCCCCGGGCUCAACCUGGGAACUGCAUCCAAAACUACUGAGCUAGAGUACGGUAGAGGGUGGUGGAAUUUCCUGUGUAGCGGUGAAAUGCGUAGAUAUAGGAAGGAACACCAGUGGCGAAGGCGACCACCUGGACUGAUACUGACACUGAGGUGCGAAAGCGUGGGGAGCAAACAGGAUUAGAUACCCUGGUAGUCCACGCCGUAAACGAUGUCGACUAGCCGUUGGGAUCCUUGAGAUCUUAGUGGCGCAGCUAACGCGAUAAGUCGACCGCCUGGGGAGUACGGCC